rnacentral:snRNA from 1 species
UUCUGUUCUGGACACGUUAAGCUUGAGGACACUGGAGAUCAAGUGUAGUAUCUGUUCUUAUCAGUUUAACAUCUGAUACGUCCUCUAUCUGAGGGCAAUAUAUUAAAUGGACUUUUGGAACAGGGAGAUUAUUUUAUUAUUAUAUUAUUUUGUUAAUGAGGUGUACAUCCC